rnacentral:tRNA from 2 species
GCGAUCGUAGCUCAGCUGGUUAGAGCGCUGGAUUGUGAUUCCAGAGGUCGCGAGUUCAAGUCUCGUCGGUCGCC